CGCUAUUAGCUCGUCAUCCGAUAAAAUUGGAACGAUACAGAGAAGAUUAGCAUGGCUCCUGCGCAAGGAUGACACGCACAAAUCGAGAAAUGGUCCAAAAAAAAUUUU